ensembl:ncRNA C33F10.23 ncRNA
AGCGAUUUUUUGUGUUGAGGUUGGUUCUUACUGCUUCAAGGGGAACAUGACAAUAAAAGAUGGGUCGGGAGAGAGGGUAAGGAGAGGUGAGAAUAGAAUUAUGAUAGUAUACAUUCGAAGGCGGCAAGUGCACACACACAUCCACACACAAAUUUGAUUGUUGCCACUUGACACCUCAGGGGGGAGCCUUUUUGCUCCGUGUUCGCUCAUC